CCAGAGAUAAUAUUCACAGCGAGCAGACGUUUGCGUCAGUGUCAGAUAGGUCUCAAUGCCACCCUGCCCCAGGGGGAGUACAGCGGGCAGACGGGCUGGGCAGGCAGGCAGGCACCCGCAGCAGAGCACCCCAAAUCACCGGCCCACCGUGCACCCCACGAUCAUGCUGCUCCUCCUGCACCUGCUGCCUGCCAUGCUGCCCACUGCCGCCCUGGCCAGCUGCACCGGGGCUGGUGCUGACCGACAGCUCAUCCUGGCCAAGGUACGGGCUCGAGUGCUGGAGCAUCUGAGCCCCCCACUUCUCCAGGAGAAGCCCCAGAAGGAAGCAAGGAGGGUGCAUCGGAGAGAUGUCCUCAAAAAUGAUGAAGUCGAGCCCGAGGAGCUGGAGGACACCUCCCAGGUGAUCCUCUUCCCUUCCACAGAUGUGCCCUGCGAGCCCACGCAGCCAGACAAGCUGCUGGAGGAAGAAGGGAUUUUCACCUACCUCUUCCAGCCCUCAGCGCACACCCUGAGCCGUGCAGUGACCUCUGCCCAGCUCUGGUUUUACACCGGCCCCUCAGCCACCCCCAACCACUCAGCCCCCGACGUGCUGACCCUGUCGCUGCAGGGCCGUGUGCCGGUGGCAGCCACAACAGUGCAAACACCUGAGCACUGGACAGUGUUCCACUUCGCCCCAGCACUGUUACCCCAGCUCUCGCAGCCGCUCUUUGUGCUCCUGGUGCGCUGCCCUGGCUGCCCCUGCCUGGCCGAGGGGGAUAAGAUGCCCUUCUUGGUGGUCACCACCCGAGCCAAGGGUACCGAGAGGACGCGUCGCUCGGCCAUGCCCUGGUCCCCAGCUGCCCUGAGCCUGCUGCAGCGCCCAUCCGAGGAUCUGGCCGCCCACACCAACUGCCGCCGGGCUUCCCUCAACAUCUCCUUCGAGGAGCUGGGCUGGGACAAGUGGAUCGUGCAUCCCAGCAGCUUUGUUUUCCACUACUGCCACGGAAGCUGCGCUGAGGGCCACGGGCUGAGUCACCGUCUGGGCGUGCAGCUCUGCUGCGCCGCCCUGCCCGGCACCAUGCGCUCCCUGCGCGUCCGCACCACUUCUGACGGUGGGUACUCCUUCAAGUAUGAGACAGUGCCCAACAUCCUGGCCCAGGACUGCACCUGUGUCUAGGGCAUCCUGCAGCCCGACCCCAGACCGUGAUCCUACCCAAGAGUCGCUCACCCAGGGGACUACCCGCCCCACACCACAGAGACCAGAGGGAUCUUGCAGGGAGGUUUGGGCUGCACCACCCUACCCUGUACAAGCCAGUUUCAGGCUGCCCCAGGUACAUUCACAUCGCCAGACCUGCCCAACAGCCGUCCCAGCCUGGAGCAAACCAGGUCACGGUGGGGCUUGGAAAGGCACAGCACUGACCCCCUGCCGAAGCCAGCCUGCUGUCUGCAACCAGCUUAGCCCAUUUUUCUCCACCAGUUCCAUCUGAGCAGUUUCCCUGCCCCACAAAAAAAAGACUGGAGUCCCACGCCUGCUGCAGAGUACAACAGCCUCCCCAUGUUACUGAGCUGGGCCAGGCUGCCGCGGCAGGAUCAGGACGUGCCAGGGUGAAGCCAUGGCAGGGCCUCACGCCAAUGCCGGGGCCGGUGGCACAUGCAGCACCGCGAGCGAGCCCUCUCCUGGCAGCACAGCCUGUUCGGAAGCUCAACAGGGGAAGCUUCCCCAGCUCCGCUGCAGCCGCCUCCGCACGGCAGGAACGACUGAGUCAACCCGGGCCGAGCAGGGAGGUCCCAAGCAGGCGAGCGCUGCCUGCCCCAGCCCAUCUGCGCAGAAUUCCCUUCCCACCCCUUCCUCCCAAACGACCGGAUGCAGCAGUUCAGUACAAAACGUC